rnacentral:rRNA from 1 species
GACGAACGCUGGCGGCGUGCCUAAUACAUGCAAGUAGAACGCUGAAGGAGGAGCUUGCUUCUCUGGAUGAGUUGCGAACGGGUGAGUAACGCGUAGGUAACCUGCCUGGUAGCGGGGGAUAACUAUUGGAAACGAUAGCUAAUACCGCAUAAGAGUAGAUGUUGCAUGACAUUUGCUUAAAAGGUGCAAUUGCAUCACUACCAGAUGGACCUGCGUUGUAUUAGCUAGUUGGUGGGGUAACGGCUCACCAAGGCGACGAUACAUAGCCGACCUGAGAGGGUGAUCGGCCACACUGGGACUGAGACACGGCCCAGACUCCUACGGGAGGCAGCAGUAGGGAAUCUUCGGCAAUGGACGGAAGUCUGACCGAGCAACGCCGCGUGAGUGAAGAAGGUUUUCGGAUCGUAAAGCUCUGUUGUAAGAGAAGAACGAGUGUGAGAGUGGAAAGUUCACACUGUGACGGUAUCUUACCAGAAAGGGACGGCUAACUACGUGCCAGCAGCCGCGGUAAUACGUAGGUCCCGAGCGUUGUCCGGAUUUAUUGGGCGUAAAGCGAGCGCAGGCGGUUAGAUAAGUCUGAAGUUAAAGGCUGUGGCUUAACCAUAGUACGCUUUGGAAACUGUUUAACUUGAGUGCAAGAGGGGAGAGUGGGAUUCCAUGUGUAGCGGUGAAAUGCGUAGAUAUAUGGAGGAACACCGGUGGCGAAAGCGGCUCUCUGGCUUGUAACUGACGCUGAGGCUCGAAAGCGUGGGGAGCAAACAGG